UUGGAGGGCAAGUCUGGUGCCAGCAGCCGCGGUAAUUCCAGCUCCAAUAGCGUAUAUUGAAGUUGUUGCAGUUAAAAAGCUCGUAGUUGAAUUUCGGGGUCAGUAGAUUGGUCAUGCCACUGGUAUGUACUGGUCUCACUGAUUCCUCCUUCCUGAUGAGCCGUAAUGCCAUUAAUUUGGUGUUGCGAGGAAUCUGGACUGUUACUUUGAAAAAAUUAGAGUGUUUAAAGCAGGCUGACGCUUGAAUACAUUAGCAUGGAAUAAUGAAAUAGGACGUUCGAUCUUAUUUUGUUGGUUUCUAAGAUUGACGUAAUGAUUAAUAGGGAUAGUCGGGGGCGUCAGUAUUCGGCUGUCAGAGGUGAAAUUCUUGGAUUUAUUGAAGACUAACUACUGCGAAAGCAUUUGCCAAGGAUGUUUUCAUUAAUCAAGAACGAAAGUUAGGGGAUCGAAGACGAUCAGAUACCGUCGUAGUCUUAACCAUAAACUAUGCCGACUAGGGAUCGGAUGAUGUUAAUUUUUUAAUGACUCAUUCGGCGCCUUACGGGAAAC
rnacentral:rRNA from 1 species